AUUGAACGCUGGCGGCAGGCCUAACACAUGCAAGUCGGGCGAGUGGCGGACGGGUGAGUAAUGUAUGGGGAUCUGCCUGAUGGCGGGGGAUAACUACUGGAAACGGUAGCUAAUACCGCAUACCAUCAGAUGAACCCAUAUGGGAUUAGCUAGUAGGCGAGGUAACGGCUUACCUAGGCGACGAUCCCUAGCUGGUCUGAGAGGAUGAUCAGCCUGAUUGGGACUGAGAUACGGCCCAGAUGCCAACGGGAGGCAGCAGUGGGGGAUAUUGCACAAUGGGCGAAAGCCUGAUGCAGCGACGCCUCGUGGGGGAUGAAGGCUUUCGGGUUGUAAACCUCUUUCGCUAUCGAACGGGUAGUUGGAGAGGAAGCGCCGGCUAACUACGUGCCAGCAGCCGCGGUAAUAC
rnacentral:rRNA from 1 species